CCCUUAGAUGUCCGGGGCUGCACGCGCGCUACACUGAAGGAAUCAGCGUGCUAAAACCAUUGUCGAAAGGCAUUGGUAAACCCAUUAAAAUCCUACGUGAUUGGGAUCGGGAAUUGCAAUUAUUUCCCUUGAACGAGGAAUUCCCAGUAAGUGUGGAUCAUAAGCUCGCGUUGAUUACGUCCCUGCCCUUUGUACACACCGCCCGUCGCUGCCCGGGACUGAGCCGUUUCGAGAAAAGCGGGGACUGCUGCUGUCGGGGCUUUCGGGCCUUGGCUUCGGUGGAAACCGCUUUAAUCGCAGUGGCUUGAACCGGGCAAAANUCGUANCA
rnacentral:rRNA from 1 species